CAGUUGAGGCCGUGGCCAAGGAGCUGCUGAGCCCCAAGAGCUCCCACUGUGGGUAAGGGAACCCUCUAGCCCCGCUGCUCCCAGUGUCUCCAGGCUGCUGGCAGUGACACUGGGAUCCCACAGACACCCAGGCCAUGGUGGUACUGGCGCUGGUGUGUGCCUACAACCACACAGACAAGCAGGAUCUGAUCCAUGAUGCACUAAAGGUGGUGAACAAUGAUUUCCUGGAUGAGCAAGAGAGGAGAAAUGGCAUGAUUAGGGAUAUCUACAGCAUGGGGCUGGCCCUGCAGGUAUGGAGAGGGGCUGUGGGGUCACAGCUCCACUCCCUGGUUGCUCGUGACACCUUCUACCUCCUCCACAGGCUCUGGAGACCUCAAGCGAGUUUUAUGCCCCUCAGAAGUGGAACUGUGCCCAAGCCUUCAGCGUGGUCUACAAUCAGGACUACACUACCAUAGCCCAGCUGCUCUCUUGCCUCAUGGGCAAGUCAUACCUGAAUGCAGGUAGGCGGGGCUGAGCUGCCACCAACAGAAUGUCCCCAAGCCAACAGCUGUUCCUGUCUCCAAUGCUGGGGACAAUCGGGGCUCCAACCUGAAGCCGACCCGUGGGGAUGACAUUCCUGCCCUGUGCCAGGUGGGAUGUGCCAGGUGCCCACCCUGGCCCUCUCCCUGCCCACAGCUUCCAUCAUGGUGCAGUUGUCCAUCACCAACACACUGAAGAAUUACUUCCACUACUCCACCUUGGUGUGUGUCCCAGAUAACUCCACGCUACUCCGCGUGAUGAAGGUGGCAAGGAAUGAGAAACCUGACAUCUUUUGCUUCCAGACGGAGCAGACAUCCUGGGGUCCCUAUGUGACCUCCAUCCAUGGGCUGGCUGGCAACAAAACUGAAAGGACCUACUGGCAGUUCUUCAGCUGCUGGAGUCCCCUCCAGAAAGGUGGACACCUGGGGGAUGUGGGGCACAAGGGGCUGCGUUUGGUGGUCUCCAUGUCCCAACCUCACACAUCCCUCUGCUGCAAGGGUUGGUACCUACAAGCCAAAAAACUGGGAGCACAUCCAGGCUGUCUUCAGCACCUACUGACGCCACCAAGACACCCUGGACCCCUCCAUGGAGCAAUAAAGUUCCAUUCCAGCAUGUCCCUGUGUGUGUGUGUGUGUCCCUGGGAGAAAACACAGCUCACAUCCCUUUUGAAUUCCAUGAGCUCAGCUCCUCUCCUCUUCCCCAGCACCACACAGUACAAGUACAGCUUCACCCAAUUCCUUGGAGACAAGCCAUGUCCCUGGCUCCAUCAGCCAGGAAGUGAGACCAUCAUCCUCCUCAUCAUCACUGUGUCCUACUUUGCUGAGAAUCCUUCCAUCUGUUCUGCUCCAGAGGGCCAGCAGUAUCCACAUGGAGCCCCUCGCUCCUGGAACCACUGGUGUGCCCUGGGGCUGUGACAUCACACAGGUGUCCCAUCCACAGCACUGUGACAUCAGCACCGUGUCUCUACAGGACAUGUGCCACAUCCCCUGGCUCCCAGUGUGGCCAAGAUGGGACAUGGAUGAAGCCAUGAGUUUCCUGCUCCCCCUGCUUGUCCUGCUGGUGGCCAGUACAGCCGUCCUGCUGGCCACCUGCAUUUGGAAGGAACGGAAGCGCGUCAGGGGCCGGG
ensembl:lncRNA gastric intrinsic factor-like